rnacentral:rRNA from 1 species
AUCAUACGUUCAUUAAUGCACCAGAUCCCAUUAGAACUCUGUAGUUAAGCGUGCUUGGGCUAGAGUAGUACUGGGAUGGGUGAACACCCGGGAAGUCCUAGUGUUGCACCCU